GCCAGACGGGUGUCUCCGCCACAGUGUUUCGCGGCUUGUGUUAUCAUACAAAAAGAAGAAGAAAGAAGAGCGUGUCGGCAAGAGGUAUCGCAUUUCACAUGCUGCUCCUGCGAAAGGAGAAGCUGUCCACGAUGCAUUCACGUGAUCCCUCCUUCCCUUGAAAUAAAACAAAAAUCAAGGGUCUUAUAAGCUAGCUGUCGAAGACUGAGUCCGGUGAUUGUGAACGAACCUCCAUGGACGACCCUCUUCUCUCUGUCCCGUUCCCAGGGCUAGUUCGUCAUGCAAGAUAUUGCUUUUGUACAAGGAUGAUGCCAAACAAGAAUCUGGUAAUUUGUAACAUGUCCUUCGGUAGUUAAAUAAAAGAGUAGAAAAAUAAUGUGCUAAAAUAAAAAAGGAAUAUAUACACUGUU